rnacentral:sRNA from 1 species
GCUGGGCAUAGUGGCAGGCGCCUGUAGUCCCAGCUACUUGGGAGGCUGAGGCAGGAGAAUGGCGUGAACCCGGGAGGCGGAGAUUUCAGUGAGCCGAGAUCGCGCCACUGCACUCCAGCCUGGGCGACAGAGCGAGACUCCGUUUCAAAAAAAAAAAAGAGAUGUUAUCUUGCUCUGUGGCCAGGCUGGAGUGCAGGGGCGCAAUCUUGGCUCACUGCAACCACCUCCAUCUCCUGGGUUCAAGCGAUUCUCCUGCCUCA